rnacentral:tRNA from 1 species
UGACUCAGUUGGUAGAGCAUGGUGUUUGCAACGCCAUGGUUGUGGGUUCGAUUCCCAC